rnacentral:rRNA from 1 species
GACGAACGCUGGCGGCGUGCUUAACACAUGCAAGUCGAACGAAGUGGCGAACGGGUGAGUAACGCGUAAUCAACCUGCCCUUCAGAGGGGGACAACAGUUGGAAACGACUGCUAAUACCGCAUACUGAAUGAGGGGAUUGUGUCGGAUUAGCUAGUUGGAGGGGUAACGGCCCACCAAGGCGAUGAUCAGUAGCCGGGCUGGGGGGGUGAACGGCCACAUUGGGACUGGGACACGGGCCAGAAUCCUACGGGAGGCAGCAGUGGGGAAACUUCCGCAAUGGGCGGAAAGCUGACGGAGCAACGCCGCGUGAGUGAUGACAGGCUUCGGGUUGUAAAGCUCUGUUAAUCGGGACGCGGUACCGGAAUAGAAAGCCACGGCUAACUACGUGCCAGCCGCCGCGGUAAUUC